CCUACGGGUGGCUGCAGUGAGGAAUAUUGGUCAAUGGGCGCGAGCCUGAACCAGCCAAGUAGCGUGAAGGAUGACUGCCCUACGGGUUGUAAACUUCUUUUAUAAAGGAAUAAAGUGAGGCACGUGUGCCUUUUUGUAUGUACUUUAUGAAUAAGGAUCGGCUAACUCUGUGCCAGCAGCCGCGGUAAUACGGAGGAUCCGAGCGUUAUCCGGAUUUAUUGGGUUUAAAGGGAGCGUAGAUGGGUUGUUAAGUCAGUUGUGAAAGUUUGCGGCUCAACCGUUAAAUUGCAAUUGAUACUGGCAGUCUUGAGGACAGUUGAGGUAGGCGGAAUUCGUGGUGUAGCGGUGAAAUGCUUAGAUAUCACGAAGAACUCCGAUUGCGAAGGCAGCUUGCUAAACUGCCACUGACAUUGAUGCUCGAAAGCGUGGGUAGCAAACAGGAUUAGAUACCCUAGUAGUC
rnacentral:rRNA from 1 species